ACCCGCUGAACUUAAGCAUAUCAAUAAGCGGAGGAAAAGAAACUAACAAAGAUUCCCAUAGUCAUGGCGAGUGAAGCAGGAUGAGCUCAAAUUUAAAAUCUGGCUGGUUUACUAGUCCGAAUUGUAGUUUAAAGAAGCGUUUUUGGUGGCAGCCUGGGUAUAAUCCUUUGGAAUAGGGUAUUAUAGAGGGUGAGAAUCCCGUCUUUGACUCAGUGAAUGCUACUAUGUGAUACGUUUUCAAAGAGUCAAGUUGUUUGGGAAUGCAGCUCAAAAUGGGUGGUAAAUUUCAUCUAAAGCUAAAUAUUGGCGAGAGACCGAUAGCGAACAAGUACCGUGAGGGAAAGAUGAAAAGAACUUUGAAAAGAGAGUUAAACAGUGCGUGAAAUUGUUGAAAGGGAAACGUUUGAUACCAGUCAUGCGGGUGGAAAAUCAGUCUUUUGGAGUGAGGAGUGGUGGGGGUUCAGACUGCAAGGCUGGCCUUUAUUUCAUCUUUGCUCUAAGUGAUGCACUUUUUCAUUUGCAGGUCAACAUCAGUUUCCUCUGCUGGACAAAACUCCGAGAGAAGGUAGCAACUUAGGCUGUGUUAUAGUUCUGGAGCGAUACAGUGGAGGGGACUGAGGUUUUCGCAGUGUGUGCUCUCAGGCAAGGUCGACUGGGUGCUAUGUGAUCGUUCAAUGUACAAUGCAUGCAUUUUGCGCUGUGUCUUUUGCAUACUCGCCUGACUCGACUCUUCCACGCUUAGGAUGUUGACUUAAUGGUUUUAAAUGACCCGUCUUGAAACACGG
rnacentral:rRNA from 1 species